rnacentral:rRNA from 1 species
UGGGGAAUUUUGGACAAUGGGGGAAACCCUGAUCCAGCCAUCCCGCGUGUGCGAUGAAGGCCUUCGGGUUGUAAAGCACUUUUGGCAGGAAAGAAACGUCGCGGGUUAAUACCCCGCGAAACUGACGGUACCUGCAGAAUAAGCACCGGCUAACUACGUGCCAGCAGCCGCGGUAAUACGUAGGGUGCAAGCGUUAAUCGGAAUUACUGGGCGUAAAGCGUGCGCAGGCGGUUCGGAAAGAAAGAUGUGAAAUCCCAGAGCUUAACUUUGGAACUGCAUUUUUUAACUACCGGGCUAGAGUGUGUCAGAGGGAGGUGGAAUUCCGCGUGUAGCAGUGAAAUGCGUAGAUAUGCGGAGGAGCACCGAUGGCGAAGGCAGCCUCCUGGGAUAACACUGACGCUCAUGCACGAAAGCGUGGGGAGCAAACAGGAUUAGAUACCCUGGUAGUCCACGCCCUAAACGAUGUCAACUAGCUGUUGGGGCCUUCGGGCCUUGGUAGCGCAGCUAACGCGUGAAGUUGGACCGCCUGGGGGAGUACGGUCGCAAGAUUAAAACUCAAAGGAAUU